rnacentral:sRNA from 1 species
CGUCCUUCAAUAACGACGCGAGCAAAGUACAUACUGACCAUGGCCAGUCUCAGGAAUAUAAGGACUACUCUGUCGAGGACUAAAAUGAACGCAAGAUCUUCCACCUUCCACUUGCCGACGACUUCUUCUGGCAACCUUCCGUUCUCGUCCUUCUUUCCCUUCUUCUUCCCACCCUUUUUCGCUGCUCUUUCCUCUGCUUUUUUCGCUUCUCUCCUCGCAAGAGUUAACAAUGCCUCCACAGGGCCCCUCAGCUGACGGUAUUCGUUUUGAACGGCUAAAAGAGGCUCGAGUGACGCUUGUGCUCUGGAAAGAAUAUCGUGGGAAGCGGGGUGUGUGAUCAAGGACGGGAGGUGAGCGUCUAAGAUCAGAGAGGUGUGCGUGACAAGGGAUUGUAGAGAUGGAAGAUUGUCGUCUUUCUCCUCGGACACAGACUCAUCCCAGCCCUUUAAUCCCUGGGACAAAGUCUCGACGUAGUCUUCCAUCCACUGAACGAGGACUUUUAAUACGGCCGCAGCAUCCUCCACUGAGAGGAUCACAUAUAAGUCCAAUCGGUAGGAAGGCCCGGGAGGGGGAAGAGCAAGAAUUGUCUGGAGAAGAGCGGUCAGAGAAGGGACGGACGAAGCGUUUGAUGAUUGUGCAGAUUUUUGGAGAAGCAUGAUGAUUGUUGACGAAGGGAUAGUGGGAAUAUUCUGGAGAGCAAGCAUAAUAUUUUCCUGUCAUAAUCAUUAGUAAACGAACAUAACAAGGAGUGACAUUCAAUUUACCCAAUCGCCAAGCGGUAAUAACCCGUCCACGACGACACCUUCCUUCCACAUGCCAUCACUCACAACCCUUCUGCUUACAAGGUCCCUCAAAACUUCACCGGCAUAGACGCCUUUUGGCUUGCCAUCUUCGUUUAGAGCCGCCCCAAACACGACACCGACCACUUUUCUAACGAAUUUGUCACUGAAGACGCCCUCUACGGUAUCAGACUCUUUUGCAACCCAGUCUCUCCAAGCCUUCUGAACUCCGGUCACGUCCUUGCUCUUCAAAGCCUUUUCGAGUCCUUCAAGGACCUUGUCUUGUUUCUUCUCCAAUUCACUCUUUCCUUGCUUCUUCUCCGCCACCUCAACCUCCAGAUACUCUCUUGUCCUUGUCUUGCUACCAAGAAGCAAUCCCAUCCCCACGCCACGCUCAGGUAAAGCUACUUCGCAUGUGUAAAGCACACUCCUACCGCUAGAUCCUUCUCCUUCACUGUGCUUAUGAGAGAGCACGACACCGAUUGUGUAGACCCCAGAGCGAACGGAAAGGAUAGAUAGAGCAGAAAUGGUGCCAGAAGAGGUGAAUGAAGAAAGCGGGGUGGUGGUGAGGAUUGUGGGCAAGUUGGAGGCAGGAAUGGCGAGAAGAAGAGAAGGAGAUGGAUGGGGGGUGGGAAGAAGGACGAGGGGAAGGGUAGGUGAAGGAAGAGAGAGAAGAAGAGACGCAGAUGAAGGGUGAAGGAGACGAACAGGGGAAGAGGGUGUCGAGAGAGUCCGAACAGAGGUGGUGUAGAGAUUAUGUUGUUCAUCUUGAGACAUUGAUUGUCAGCAAUAAAGCUUUGAUAUUGACUGUGGACGUACCGAGCACAGUAAUGACGCCAUCGUCGCUAACAUCCCCAGCCACUAACUUGCCGUUGCCAACCUUCCCUUCUGAUAUCCUCUCCAGCCGCCUAUCCUCAAUCCAAACCUUGGUCACUUCGAUCCGUCCUGUUCUGUCAACAAGAACGACCCUAACAGAGUGUUUGGUCUCCUGGAGGAUGACUCGGGAAGCGAGAAGCUCAGGUGAUUUCAAAGAGGAGGUGGUGAUUGAAUAGGAUUGUAAUUUAGAGUCGAGAAGAUAGAAUUGGGCGGAGGAAGAGAUGAGCAACAGGGGCGUCGUUGGAGAUGGAAGAU